UGAAGAGAACAAGGAAGAAAUACAAGACAAGACCGAGUGGAAGUUAACAUUUCCUUCCGUGCCUUACUGGACGAAUUUAUUGUAUGUCUGUGUGAAAAGCCUGAGCCUCGUAUUAGUAUUUCUAGACUUCUCAAUAUGAAGAGUUUAAACAGCUUAAGACCUUGUGCUUCUGCUUGUCUAGCCGUCCUUGUGAUUUUAUGUGUUGAGUACGGAGCAGGUCUACGGUUAACGUUUCCCGACAUCAGUGAUGACGUCAUCACAGCGGCAGAGAACUCCGAGAUACGUAUACCCUUUGGAGUUGCCGACCUUGAUGGCGUUACCGAUCCUUUUUUCAUCAACUUGGACAUUCAUAAUGAUUCGAGUGAUGCUACAAAGACACAAUUGUUGUGUCUAAUAACUUACCACACAAGUACCAUGUCAUACACAGUGGAUGAAAUGAUGAACUGCUCCGUUCCACCAGGAGGCGACACUGUGGUGUUUACCAGGACUGUGUCUCGUCAGGAUGACAAAGCCACGUUGAGGUGGACACUGUCACCACAUGGAGUUGAGAAAAGAUUACGGCUUAAUGUCACCUAUCCACCCACUAUAACCAGUCUCACCUUUGACUACGAUUCUAAUAAAACAACGAAAACGAUUCCGAGACGAGGAAAGUUACAACUGAACUGUGCUUGGAACAACGGCAACCCGCCUACAGCAGUCCGUCUUCUGAACAACAAGGGAGAGUUGUUGACAGAAAACAACAACAGCGACAACACCUUCCCUGACAUACGAGUUGAAUCAUGUCAACUGUAACCUCACGGGUGUGUUCACGUGCCAGACGGCGGGUGCAGAGGUCAACAGGAGCGUAACUCUCUUGGUUCAGUGUCCACCGGUAUUCAGGGCGACAGAAGACGUGAAUGAGAGAUUUACGGCAGGUGAGACAGUGAUGUUGAGUUUUCAUGUAGUGUCACACACGAGUGACAUCACACAGUGUCGUCUGCGUCAACUGUCGUCAGACAUGCAUGCAGCACAUGACUUCUAUCGACUAAACAGUACUUUUACCUGUUCGCUGACCGGACAGCCCCCUGACCUGGAACUGUCCGUUGUCAUGUUUAAUGUCAGUGACAGUGAGGAGGGCGACUGGCAUCUCGAGCUGUCUAAUGAGGAAGGAAGCACCUCCACCCAGUUUUCUCUUCACACGGAAAAAAGCUUGGACCUUACUGGAUUACUUUCCCUGCCUAUUUAACAUUCGAGUUCCUGGUUUAUCAGGGGAAGUAAUGGAAUUGGAAGGAGAGAACUCGCUAAGAGUGAAUGACUUACUUUACAUUUAAUACUUUUGAUUGCGCGAGGUCACCAAAUCUUAUCUCCACCCCUCGCUUCGGUGCUGGUUUUGGUAACUUAGAGGUUAAUUAGUUUUCAUGUCAUGCAAUUCUAAUAAUUGCAAGCAAAGCUGCUAUGUAUUGUCCUAAUCUGUACUAUAAUUAUAGUAUAACUAGUUAGGAGAAACACUUGAAGAAAAGACAUAGAGACACUCGCAUGAAUUCGUUCAUAGGAAAAGAUUUAGCUUGCAAUAUGUAAUUGUUAAAAAUCUUUUAAGCAAGUCCAUUUGCGGUAUCUCCUUAUGUUCACAUACACGAAUUUUAGACAAUUCAUUUUAAAAAAAUUAUUCGCAAUACGACUUACAGACCUUUUGAUAUGUUCGAACACAAAUGGUGUUGCCCCUCCCCUUCCAAAAAAAAAAAAAAGUAUAAUCUUGAAACAAAAUUCACGCCUGUAUACAGACGACAUGUGUCUUAAAAGCAGUCUUUCUCGCUGAAUGAAAGGAAAUAAAUUGUUCUUCACAUGACGGAUAUGCAGAAAAGUAAUAAACGGUGACUUGUCCCUUACAGAUAGAACGUGGACAGUGGCGACUAGAAGAUCUUCAAGCUGUAUAUUACAAAACAGGUCUACGGUUAACGUUUCCCGACAUCAAUGAUGACGUCAUCACAGCGGCAGAGAACUCCGAAAUACGUAUACGCUUUGGAGUUGCCGACCUUGGAGGCGUUACCGAUCUUUUUUUCAUCGGCUUGGACAUUAGUAACGAUUCGAGUGGGGCUACAAAGGCUCAAUUUUUGUGUGUAAUAACUUACAACACAAGUGCCAUGUCAUUUCUAGUGGAUGAGAAGAUGGACUGUUUUGUUUCACCUGGAGCCGACACUGUGGUGUUUUUCAAAACCGUGUCUCGUCAGGAUGACAAAGCCACGUUGAGGUGGACAGUGACACCACAUGGAGUUGAGAAACGCUUACGGCUUAACGUCACCUAUCCUCCCAUCAUAACCAGCCUCACUUUUACUGAUGAACCGAAAGUGACAACGAAAAUAGUUCAGAAGGGCGAGAUGGUACAGCUGACCUGUUCAUGGGUUCACGGCAACCCGCCCACAGCAGUCCGUCUUCUACACAGCAAGAGACAGCAGAUGAUGACAGAAAUCUCCGACAGCAGCAAGAACAACCUGACCUAUGAACUGAACCCAGGUCACCUGCGACCACAUGGGUGUGUUCACGUGUCAGGCGGCAGGAGCAGAGGUCAACAGAAGUGUGACACUCUUGGUUCAGUGCUCACCCCAAUUGCUAGCUCCAGAUAAGAUCGUAACGGUCACUGGCACACGAGGACAAUCAGUGACCUUGAGUUACAACUUCCUGUCACACACAACCAACAUCACACAGUGUCGUCUUCGUAAACUUCCAUCAAGCGCAAGCCAUAACCUCGAAGUGCUUCGUCUAACGGCUACCUUUAACUGUUGGCUGACAGGACGGCCUCCUGACCUCAACCUGACCGUUGUCAUGCAGGACGUCAGUGACACUGACCAGGGAAUGUGGCAACUAGAAGUGACCAAUGGCUGGGGAACAAACUCUGUUAACUUCUCUCUCUUGUUGAGCAACGGUAUGCUGAGAAAAGCAGCUCUUUCUUUUUGUUAUAGAAAUUAUUCUUGUCGAUGCCCGUGAAUACAAUCUCUGUAAGACAGUAACAAAACUGAACCAAAAAUAACAGGGACUAGAAACAUCAUGAGACACUUUGUCCCAAACAAAUUUUCAGUCCACGUUAAGUGAUAAAGCAGAUAUAAGUGCAAACAAGUAAUGCACGAAAGAGGACAGGGAAUGGAAGAAGCAUCAGAAGAAGACUUGUCGGUUACCCAGAUAACAUCAAAAAUUAACUCUGCAGCCCAUCUUCUAGCUUCAUCAUUCUACUGCAAGUUUGUUUCAAUAGUAUUACUAGCAAUGGUGGUUGUAGAGGCAAAAAAUAGAAGUAAUUAAUAAUUACAAGAGGGGGAUAACUAAAAUAAUGACUUUGUAGGAAGGUAAGGGGAGAUUAGCCAACAAGAAAUGAAAAGUAUACAUGGGUAUAUGAGUCAGUAAGACUGAUAGGUAUGUAUAUGAUAUGAGUGUAGAUGUCAAAGGUAUGAGAGAAUUCUUGAUUUUGCAUAUUUUACAUUGUAUUUAACUGUUAAAUAUUGCUAUACCAAUCCAUAAACAUUCAGCUUACUCUCCUUUACACGAGAGCGCGCGCGCGCACACACACACACACAGACAUGUAGGCACGCACAUCUGCAGGUAACAUAAUAACAAACGCACUUACCUUUUCGAAAUCACUUUGAGUGUCACAUAUAAUUAAUUAAACAAAAAUCAUCUAUAUGCUCACAUCCGGACCUGGUCAACAUACGCAGAUUACACUGUGACAAAAUAUGACAUACUCGCAUGCCACGCAGAUACCUAGAAAAAACAUAACAUCAGUAAAAGAGUUCACACCUGUACUUAAGUGUGUGGGGGGAGUGGGGUGGGGGUGUUGCAUGUAGUGUGAAUAUUUCCCUGCGCCUCGCUUUCGUGCCGGAUGAGCCUCUUGAGAGUGGUUUGCUGCAAAUUACCAAUCGCCUUCAUCGUCGGUCAAUAUUCACUCGACAAACAGCGGAUACCGCGGUAAAAAUAAGGGAUUUUACUGUCACCGCUGAAAAUACCUAUCACCUACUUUCCAGUCCCUUCACGAAUCCACGAUUGCUUCUUCCCCCCCCCCCCUUCCUUUGGACAGCAGACACCGUGACAAUGACAAGGGAAGCAACCACAAACUUUAAUUCUUUAAUUCCGUGGCAGUAGCUUUAUCGAUGGUCUUAUUGUGCUAUUCGCGUAGUUUAUAGACUUUUUUAACAACACAGGGGUGAAAACAACAUUCAACUCCAAGAUCAAACGUAUGUACAUUUAUUGUAUACUUUAUAUAAUUUGAUUAUUUUAGCCAUUUUAGCCUUAGAUAUCUAAAUAACUUACUGACUUCUUAAUUUUCGAACGCUUUUUUUACUACUGUGUCCUCUUUUUCUUCUUGCUUUCCUAAAUGUUCUUUCAUCUUUUUAUGCUGAAUUAAAUCAUGUCAUGUUCUGUUGAUGUUGUAUGUAAUGUUAUAAUGUUACCAUUGGCAUACUCAAUAAUUUUCUGAAAAAUUAACAAAGCUUGUAUUUUGUAUAAAUUGAAUCUAGAGCACUGUACAUAACACUGUAAUUAAAACAUCGUUAGGAAAAAAAUAUUACCGCUAUCAAUAUCAUCAGUUCCUGUUUCAGUCUUGGACUUACUGGAUUACUCCCCCUGCCUAUCUAACGUUCGCGUACCUGAUUUAUCAAGGGAGGACAAUCGCGUCAUCACUGCUUUCAAUUUAGAAAAAAUGAAAGUGAGAGAGAGAGCCAGCGAGACCUCCUCAGACACAGGAGAUGGGGUGAUGACGGAUGUAAGGCAAAGAAAAAUAUACAGAUAUAACAUGAACCAGAUUAUCGUUAGUAUUGCUUUAAACAGACAGACAGCCAAAAGAAUAUAAAACGCGGAGAGGUCUAAGAAAUGUAUAGCUUAAAACUCUCUCCGCGUUGUUCGCGGUAGAGAGAUGAUGUCCGACUAGGGUAGAGUCGUACAGCAACACAUCGCGCUAUGAAUGCAAAAGGGAGAAUGGGAGAAAACUCCUGGUACAUUCAGCAGAUUUGUUCUAGCAUGGAUUACUUCCCUUCAACUGCUAGAGGAAGAAAGGGGAAGGGGGGUUGUGAUACUUGAAAGUAGGAAUGUGUUAGUUGACCAAGCUAGGAAGUUAAUCCACGGUAAAUCAACCAACAUUUCUUUUUUUCGUUAUUUAUUCUAAUGUAUGCCCCCGAACACUGCAGCUUACACUGUACAAAAAAGAAGGCAACCCUUUCCCUAGCACAUACUGCGCCAAGCAAGAUUAUAAAUCUGUUUAAUCUGUCUCUUCUUAGCAAUAUACAAAUGUCUUGUUCUGGAUUUUAAUGUACACUGUAACUUACAACAGUUUCAUCAAUCAAAUGCAACAGGUCUUUUAUUUAGACAGGGACAAAGUAACAUCACGCAUCUGUGUACACAAAAACUUAUUUAAAUUUAAAAAGAAUGUUUACAGAAUAAGAGCCAUUUACUGACCCUAUGAUAUCACUUUUACACUAGACCACCCCUCACCAAAUCAAAUUUGUGCCACCUUUACCUGUUAGAAGCAGGGGUUGUAUAGCUGGAUAAAUAAACAUUAUAAACUAAGUACCAUUUGUUGUCAUCAACCAGAUCAUCCCUAUGUAUUUUAGUGACAAUAUCUAUAUUUCUCAUAUCUCUGAGCUCAUUAUUUGAUUCUUGAAAUUUCAUGACCCCUAUCAAGAAAAAAAAAUCUCUAGAUGACAGCACCUUCGCUCAUUUUCGACCCUUCUCUAUCCAACAUUCAGAUACUGCAUACCACUUCCAAGUCUAAACCAGUCUCUCUUCCAAUCUGUGGAACCAGCUCCAACAACCACCCCUCAUUUCUUUUCUUCUAUCAUUGCAGUUCACAUAUAAAAGCGUUCAUUAAUAUCAUGCAGGAAAUUGAAAGAAAUAGCUUGCCUGCACUCCAGCCUCUUUUCUGGUACGUGUUAGAAAUUUGGAAUGGACUAACACUGUCAAGUCAGUAGGUCUUGGUGCUUGCUGUGCAUAGCCACCAUCUGGUUACAUAUUAUCCCAGAAAGGCUUACGUACCCUGUUCUUAAAUAUGAGAAUGGAUGUUUAUUUCCAUGAUGAUUUGAAGUCCAGAUGUUGAGUGAAUUUGUGAUUUUCAAGUUUCAACUGACGUUUUUAGUUUAGUGAUCUCAGUGUUUUCUGGCAUAAUUAGACCAAGGCAGACAAUUACUGAGUUGCUAACACCUUCUAAUGCAAAAAUUAAAAUAACAAAGCCAGUGGCGUUUUUAGAAUUUUAUUUCAAUAUUUAUAAGCUGAGUACAACUAAGUUUCCAUAAAACUGCUUUUCAGAUUGGACAAAAUAGUUUUUAACUCAGUUAACAUUUAAAGCAAGAGUCAAUUUUUUCAAUGUCUGCAUUACUAUUCCAAAUAUGUUUCCUUUGUUUAAAAUGAGUAGCAUAUACUCUCUUCAAGCUCUACAGGGUGUGGUCUGCAGAUGUGUGUGGUAAGAAUAUGAACAUGUUGCAUGCCUCUGUGUCUCCCUAGGUAGUGUACGCGCGAUGCAUGUGUGUGCCUAUGAAUGCAUCACUGGUGAAGGAAUGUGUGUCCGAUACUAGAAACCAAAGCUUUCACA